rnacentral:misc_RNA from 1 species
UUGGAUGUUGCCGUGUCAUUACGGCUCGUCUCAAAUGCCUGAGUGUACCUUGCUUUUGCAAUGUAUCCGGUGUAAUAAACAUUUCACCAGAGCCAGGUCGCAAGACCGCAUUGUCUAGUGAGCUCUAUGCUUUCAAACCGUCUUUGGACAAUCUCUGACAAUUUGACCUCAAAUCGGGUGGGACUACCCGCUGAACUUAA